rnacentral:rRNA from 1 species
UGCAGCCGCCGCGGUAACACAGAGGAGCAUGCUCCUUGGGUGACGAGCGGCGGACGGGUGAGUAAUGCCUGGGGAUCUGCCCGAUAGAGGGGGAUAACUACGGGAAACUGUAGCUAAUACCGCAUAAUGUCUACGGACCAAAGUGGGGGCUCUUCGGACCUCAUGCUAUCGGAUGAACCCAGGUGGGAUUAGCUAGUUGGUGAGGUAAUGGCUCACCAAGGCGACGAUCUCUAACUGGUUUGAGAGAAUGACCAGUCACACUGGAACUGAGACACGGUCCAGACUCCUACGGGAGGCAGCAGUGGGGAAUAUUGCACAAUGGGCGCAAGCCUGAUGCAGCCAUGCCGCGUGUGUGAAGAAGGCCUUCGGGUUGUAAAGCACUUUCAGCGGGGAGGAAGGGUCACUAGUUAAUACCUAGUGGCAUUGACGUUACUCGCAGAAGAAGCACCGGCUAACUCCGUGCCAGCCGCCGCCGUAACAC